UACGUAGGGGGCAAGCGUUGUCCGGAUUUAUUGGGCGUAAAGCGCGCGUAGGCGGCGCGGUAUGUCGUGCGUGAAAUCUCCCGGCUUAACUGGGAGGGGCCGUGCGAAACUGCCGGGCUUGAGGUCGGAAGGGGAAAGUGGAAUUCCGGGUGUAGUGGUGGAAUACGUAGAUAUCCGGAGGAACACCAGCGGCGAAGGCAGCUCGCUGGGACGGAACUGACGCUAAGGCGCGAAAGCGUGGGGAGCGAACAGG
rnacentral:rRNA from 1 species